UCGAGAAUCUUUCGCAAUGGGCGCAAGCCUGACGAAGCGACGCCGUGUGAGCGAAGAAGGCCUUCGGGUUGUAAAGCUCUUUCGCCAGGGAACAAGAGAGUCCGUCUAAUAAGCGGAUGAUUUGAUGGUACUUGGUAAAGAAGCACCGGCUAACUCCGUGCCAGCAGCUGCGGUAAUACGGAGGGUGCAAGCAUUGAUCGGAAUUACUGGGUGUAAAGGGCGCGUAGGCGGCCGAAUAAGUUGGAUGUGAAAUUCCGGGGCUCAACCCCGGAGCGGCAUUCAAAACUGUUUGGCUAGAGUGUAGUAAGGGAAAACGGAAUUCCACGUGUAGCGGUGAAAUGCGUAGAUAUGUGGAAGAACACCGGUGGUGAAGACGGUUUUCUGUGCUACAACUGACGCU
rnacentral:rRNA from 1 species